rnacentral:lncRNA from 1 species
GGUUUUUUGUUUAAUUCUCGAAUCAUUUGCUAAAUCAAUUUCAUAGACUUGAGAUAACUUGUGCUGGCAUGCCAAUAUAUGAGUUGUCCCUAUAAGAUGAAGAACAUAGUUGUGCUCAUCAAUAAAGUCAUGCACCUGAUACUUUUCACGAUCCGAUAUAUACACAAUUCCCAUUCUUGCUGGACAUCCUGCUCUAAUCUCUUGUCGAGGUUUCUUACAAAGAU